rnacentral:rRNA from 1 species
UACAGGGGGUGCAAACGUUGCUCGGAAUCAUUGGGCGUAAAGCGCACGUAGGCGGUUCGUUAUGUCGGAUGUGAAAGCCCUUGGCUUAACCGAGGAAGUGCAUCCGAAACUGGCGAGCUAGAGUACUAAAGAGGAUCGCGGAAUUCCCGGUGUAGAGGUGAAAUGCGUAGAUAUCGGGAGGAACAUCCGUGGCGAAGGCGGCCACCUGGACCAGCACUGACACUGAGGCACGAAAGCGUGGGGAGCAAACAGG